GAUGAACGCUGGCGGCGUGCCUAAUACAUGCAAGUCGAGCGAACAGACGAGGAGCUUGCUCCUCUGACGUUAGCGGCGGACGGGUGAGUAACACGUGGAUAACCUACCUAUAAGACUGGGAUAACUUCGGGAAACCGGAGCUAAUACCGGAUAAUAUAUUGAACCGCAUGGUUCAAUAGUGAAAGACGGUUUUGCUGUCACUUAUAGAUGGAUCCGCGCCGCAUUAGCUAGUUGGUAAGGUAACGGCUUACCAAGGCGACGAUGCGUAGCCGACCUGAGAGGGUGAUCGGCCACACUGGAACUGAGACACGGUCCAGACUCCUACGGGAGGCAGCAGUAGGGAAUCUUCCGCAAUGGGCGAAAGCUUGACGGAGCAACGCCGCGUGAGUGAUGAAGGUCUUCGGAUCGUAAAACUCUGUUAUUAGGGAAGAACAAAUGUGUAAGUAACUAUGCACGUCCUGACGGUACCUAAUCAGAAAGCCACGGCUAACUACGUG
rnacentral:rRNA from 1 species